CUAGCUGUGUUUUGGACACUUUUUAUGCUGGUCUAGCUGUGUUUUGGUCACUUUUUAAGCUGGUCUAGCUGGACUUAGCUGGUCAGGCUGGAUGACCAGCUGACCCACCAGCUUAACCAGCUUUGCCAGGCUGGGAGGACCAACUUAAACAGCUUAUGCUGGUCUUAGCUGGAUUUUUCAGUAGGGAUCACAGGUUAACUGGUUUAUCCGACAGCUUAAAAAUCAAAACAUGUCAAAUUAAAGGCGGAGUCCACGAUGUUUGAAAAACGCUUCGGAAAAGGAGACGGGCCGACUACCAAAACACACUUAUAGCCAAUCAAAUCAAAUCAAAUGCCGGGUUGCGUAUGUGUGGGGCAGGUCUAUCAACAGAAGGUCCAGAUUCUAUUGGGGUAGGGGCGUGUUUGUUUAGGUGAUUUCAAAUAUCAACAUUGGCUUUCAAACAUCAUGGACUCCGCCUUUAACCUCGAAAACAUAAUAUGAAUGUUAAGGAAUAAUGGGUUUAAUUUUGCUUUCACCAUCAGUUGCCCAGUUCAGAAAAAGAAGAAAAAAAGAUGAGGAGAAACGGGCAAAAGAUAAAGGGGCACUUCUGAAAUAUUUUGGAGCUAGAGCACCCACUGGCCAAAAUGAGGAGUCAGAUACUUCCACAGCAGCAACAGACAUGGUUGUGGAGUCUGUUGAGGAGCCAUCUACCUCUGCAGCCACACAGGCCUCUUCAGGGAUGGUCCUGGAGCCAUCUACCUCCUUAGCCACAUGAUCCUUGUAGGAUUUCUCAGGUCUGAAAGAAGUAGCCUGAUUACACUGAAAUUUUCACUGGACCCUCGAGAAAAUACUACAUGCCACAUUUUGAUGUUUUAUUAAGUUCUGAAUUUGCGGUUGUGUGUGGUAAAGAGCAGUUAUAUUAUUAAAGCAUAUAACGGUGUUCUCAAUAAAUGAACAGAAAAUUUACUGUUUAGGAUUUUCGGGUGUAUUUGUUUUAUUACUUGUAUUUCUAAAAAAAAAAAAUUGUCACAGUUUCAUAAUUUUUGUGCAUGUAUUGAUUUUUGACAUUUUGCAAAACAGCCCCUGUCCAUGGUACUGAACAUCAUGUUGUUCACACUUAAAAUUGAAGACAAGCAAAACGUAUGGCAUCAAUCUGUAUGUUUAUUUAAAGUGAAUACCCAAACUAGUUUUCAACAUGUUUAAGAUGUGUAGUUGAGAAUUGUUUGUAGUAAAAGUUUGAUUAGAAAUGCAAUAUGCAUUUAUUUAAUGACACAUGAUACGGUUCAAUAGCUUUUCAAACGUGGGAUGCACUGCACCAAAAAAAUUUGGCAAUUUUAAUAAACUCUAAAGAACAUACUAUAUCUCUUCUAUGUAAAAUUAUUUUUAGUACAAUUUAUAACAACACAUUUCUCUAUGGGAUUUCUCUUUACAACUACAUUAUUUUCA